rnacentral:lncRNA from 1 species
GCAUCAGUCCUGACCUAGGCGCAUCAAAGAAGCAUAUCAGGCACGCAUUAGGCGCAUUAAGUCUGGCUAGUGGCGCAUCAGACUUGGCCUAGACACAUUUUCUUGGCGCAUCAGAGAAGCAUACCAGACACACAUCAGGCGCAUUAGGCAUAGGCCAGAGGCGCCAACUUGGCGCAUCAGGUGCACAACUGUCUCAAGC